CAACUUCAGAAAGGAGGUGAUCCAGUGUCUCAUAGUUUCAUCCGCGGUGCGGAGCUCACGACCUGGACCUCCGUGAACGGGGUCCGCGCCUAGCCUAGGCAAGGUCGCGCAACCGCUAAGCGGUCCGACUAUGGAAAGGCCGUCCCAGCAAUGGGGCGGCCUU
rnacentral:sRNA from 1 species